CAUGUCCAAGAAAUGUUUUAUAUAAUUUUGGCUAAAAAUGGCAUAACUACGAUUUAAAAACCACUGGGAAUGCUUUGAAAAUUGAUCAAAGAUGAUUGAAAGUAGUACAACGUGUGGAGCAGAGGGACAGCAGAAACUUUUCACAAUUUAAAGUCUCAGAUAAACGCAAAUUUCACAAAAUUUAACAAGAAAGAUGAGACCAGACAAGCAGCUGCCCUAUGAUUAUCUUUCUGAGUUUAUGUGAUGUGGGCAUGAAUUAGUGCACAUAUUAAGGGCUUAAAUGGUCUUUUCCACCUGUAGCUGCUACGUUAGCCGCCCGGCUUUGUGCCUCAGAGGAGACUCAGCCUCGGCAGGAGACUGGGUUCUUUUCGUUCUCCCCGUUGCAGCCCACAGGUCUGUCCAUCCGUACAUGUGGCAAACAACCCACCACAUUACAGUAGACUCCAAAAAGCCGGGAGGUAAAGCAAACAUGGAAAAAGCUGCUCCCACUCAGAUCCCUGAGCCCCUGUGCCCAGAAAUGACUGCUUCCUUAUUUCAUUUUCUCUGUUCUUCCUUCUCCUUCUAAACAGCAGCUUUUCCUGAUUUACAAAAACCUCACUUUGUGUGUGUGUGUACAUAUGUGUAAAACCUUCCACCUUCUCCGAUGAUCAGUCACAGAUGCGUUUGUCUAUCAGCACGCCCUGCAUGUUUCUCUCAUGUGUGUCCUUGAAUAAUCCCUCUGAACUAGUUGGUGUCUCGGCCCGCCCACUGCCACACCCACGGUUGCUGUGACAACGGGGUUUACCACAGAGCUGCAACGACUUACCCAUAUGCGUUUGGGACUGCCAUGGAAAUAGUUUGGUUGCCAUGGAUACCCCGAGCCACACAAUGUGUAAUUACAUAUUGCGCUUCGCUCUGCUAUGCGUGGAAAUUGUGCCGUGUGAGCAUGCGUCACCGGGGGUUGGCGGUCGCCACUCUUCCUGGCGAGUGAGUGGACAGACAGACACACACAGUUUGUUGCACUGCAGAACAAUACAAAGCUGGAAGUUUUCAAUCAGUGGCAUGAAGUCAACAGAUGAUGGAAACUUCAGCAUCGGCCAAAAGAAGAAAUCUGGAUCUUUGGCUAUAACUUUAAUAUUUAGUUUCUUAAGAACGCUCAACUCUUAUGAGGAUUGUGCUCUCACUGAAGGGGAGAGAUUUCUACUUCUUUGAGAGGGAGGAGCCAAGAUUUGAGGGGAAAAAUGUAAAUGACAGAGAAAAUCCCUUCUGAACUAGAAGGCCAUGAAACAUCCAGAUGAUCCGCAAGACUUCAUGGACGCUCCUCUGUGGAGUAAUGAGACUUAAGUUACAAUUUUGCCUCAACAUGUGACAUAAAGGAGCACAUUAUUUUAGAAAAAAAAAAAAACUUAAAUAUGUUGGUGGUAGUGUGAUAAUGUGGGAACGUUUUACUGCUUCAGAACCCAGAAGAAUGUCACCAUGAAAUCUGCUGGAAACCAGAAGAGGAUGAAAAGAGGAGAAACUCUAUCUGUGAGCUGAAACACUGAAGGUUCUACGGCAGAACAACAAAACAACACAAACAGGAAGUUCACCUCUGAUGGGCUUAAAAAGAACAAAAUUAAGAUUGAACGUUUACGACAGAUUCCAACCUUAAAAAUUUGGUUCAAAUUCAAACUUUCCAAUGUGUUUAAAUUGCAAAGAUAAAAUUUCUCUAAAUUAAUUUCUUGUUUUAAUUUUGUUCGAUGAUCUGAAAUGCAGCAAACAUGCAAAA